GACGAACGCUGGCGGCGUGCUUAACACAUGCAAGUCGAACGGAAAGGCCCCUUUGGGGGUACUCGAGUGGCGAACGGGUGAGUAACACGUGAGUAACCUGCCCUUGACUUCGGGAUAACUUCAGGAAACUGGGGCUAAUACCGGAUAGGAAUCCUUGCUGCAUGGUGGGGGUUGGAAAGCUUCGGCGGUUUUGGAUGGACUCGCGGCUUAUCAGCUUGUUGGUGGGGUAGUGGCUUACCAAGGCUUUGACGGGUAGCCGGCCUGAGAGGGCGACCGGCCACAUUGGGACUGAGAUACGGCCCAGACUCCUACGGGAGGCAGCAGUGGGGAAGAUUGCACAAUGGGCGGAAGCCUGAUGCAGCAACGCCGCGUGCGGGAUGACGGCCUUCGGGUUGGAAACCGCUUUCAGCAGGGGCGAAGCUUGUGGUGACGGUACCUACAGAAGAAGCACCGGCUAACUACGUG
rnacentral:rRNA from 1 species